UACGAAGGGGGCUAGCGUUGUUCGGAAUUACUGGGCGUAAAGCGCACGUAGGCGGACUCUUAAGUCAGGGGUGAAAUCCCGGGGCUCAACCUCGGAACUGCUUUUGAUACUGUGAGUCUCGAGACCGGAAGAGGUGAGUGGAAUUCCUAGUGUAGAGGUGAAAUUCGUAGAUAUUAGGAAGAACACCAGUGGCGAAGGCGGCUCACUGGUCCGGUUCUGACGCUUAGGUGCGAAAGCGUGGGGAGAAAACAGG
rnacentral:rRNA from 1 species